rnacentral:rRNA from 1 species
GGUUCCCUACGGGGGGCAGCAGUAGGUAAUCUUCGGCAAUGGACGAAAGUCUGACUGAGCAACGCCGCGUGAGUGAAGAAGGUUUUCGGAUCGUAAAACUCUGUUGUUAGAGAAGAACAAGGACGUUAGUAACUGAACGUCCCCUGACGGUAUCUAACCAGAAAGCCACGUCUAACUACGUGCCAGCAGCCGCGGUAAUACGUAGGUGGCAAGCGUUGUCCGGAUUUAUUGGGCGUAAAGCGAGCGCAGG